rnacentral:rRNA from 1 species
GACGAACGCUGGCGGCGUGCCUAAUACAUGCAAGUAGAACGCAGUGGCGAACGGGUGAGUAACGCGUAGGUAACCUGCCUCAUAGCUGGGGGUAACUAUUGGAAACGAUAGCUAAUACCGCAUACUGUGUGAUAGACCUGCUUUGUAUUAGCUAGUGGGUGAGGUAAAGGGUCACCAAGGCGACGAUACAUAGCCGACCUGAGAGGGUGAUCGGCCACACUGGAACGGAGACACGGCCCAGACUCCUACGGGAGGCAGCAGUAGGGAAUCUUCGGCAAUGGACGGAAGUCUGAUGGAGCAAAGCCGCGUGAGUGAAGAAGGUUUUCGGAUCGUAAAGCUCUGUUGUUAGAGAAGGGGUAACUAACAAGAAAGGGACGGCGAACUACGUGCCAGCAGCCGCGUGAAUG